rnacentral:rRNA from 1 species
GACAGAGGGUGCAAACGUUGUCCGGAAUCAUUGGGCGUAAAGAGCGCGUAGGCGGCUAGAUAAGUCCGGUGUGAAAGUCACAGGCUCAACCUGUGAAUGCCGCUGGAAACUGUCUGGCUAGAGUCCGGAAGGGGCGAGUGGAAUUCCUGGUGUAGCGGUGAAAUGCGCAGAUAUCAGGAGGGACACCAAUGGCGAAGGCAGCUCGCUGGGACGGUACUGACGCUGAGACGCGAAAGCGUGGGGAGCGAACAGG